rnacentral:rRNA from 1 species
AGAACGAACGCUGGCGGCAGGCCUAAUACAUGCAAGUCGAACGCACUCUUCGGAGUGAGUGGCAGACGGGUGAGUAACGCGUGGGAACCUUCCCAAUGGUACGGAAUAACUCCGGGAAACCGGUGCUAAUACCGUAUAAGCCCUCGGGGAAAGGAUUUAUCGCCAUUGGAUGGGCCCGCGUCGGAUUAGCUAGUUGGUAAGGUAAUGGCUUACCAAGGCUACGACCCGUAGCUGGUCUGAGAGGAUGAUCAGCCACACUGGGACUGAGACACGGCCCAGACUCCUACGGGAGGCAGCAGUAGGGAAUCUUGGACAAUGGGCGAAAGCCUGAUCCAGCCAUGCCGCGUGAGUGAAGAAGGCCUUAGGGUUGUAAAGCUCGUUUUGGCGGGGACGAUAAUGACGGUACCCGCAGAAUAAGCCCGGCUAACUUCGUGCCAGCAGCCGC